GUACCAACAUAAUAAAAUUAUAUAAAUAGUCUAAAAUUUUUAUUUUUCUACUUGUCCAUUGGUAUUAGAAUCACUGAACCAUCAAAAAGAAAAGGCACAAACAUAUUAUUUCUAUAUAUUCAACACUCAGAAUCUUGUCAAGUUGCAAUAUCUCCUCUGUUUCCAAAGAGACCAACUGGGGACAAUCCGCAAUCAUAAUAAAAUGAUGUCAAAACUUAACCCAUAUUGUGAUAAAGAUUUCAACUAUUUCUAACCAGAGAUGUCAAAAUUUAUUGAGUUUGUGAAUCUCAACAAUGCCUUCUCUGCCGAAUCUCAACAAUGCCUUUCUGCUGAAAUAUCAAAUUUAUUGAGUUACUCGGCCUUGACUUUGCUAGUUUACCUGUUAUUAGUAAUUUAACACAAAGGCAAGGUUAGAACAUCCAAGAAAAGAAAACUAUUAUUUAAGGUAAUUAAAACGAAUACUAUUGCUAGCAGCAGCAGAUUAACAUCCUUCAUUACAUCACUUUAAUCUGACAGAACAAAAUACAGCUACAUUUGGCGAAUAUGAUCGUUAAUUUGUUAAAUAGCCAGCCCCAAUCAGUAUGUCUGAAUAUGCUAUUCCCCCUCCCCUCCCUACUUUUUUCUUAGAUUAAAACCGGUUGCCAUUGAUUCAGAUUAAAAAGAAUAUGGUUCAUCAUCAUGGGCUUAACUGAGACAAAGAAACACAAAUUGGGGAAAAUAAAAUAGUUAAUGGGUGAAAGGCUUACUAGCUGAUAUGAACAAAGAAGCUAAUUUAUCAGCUGCUUUUACAGUUGAACCCAGUUGCUGCAAUCUUGCACUACUUGCUGAAGAAGCAAAGGAAUAAGUCUAUCCAGUAGAGCUUGUAUUAUUCUGUAUUAAUAACAAAUCCAUUUUAUAAUAUAUGCAUGGAAAAAUUAGCAAGUGAAAAUGAAAAUCCCCCCUCCCGUACUAAUAACAGUAUUUGAGGUAGAGGAUUAAGUUUGUGUCAGACACUAUGUAAUGCGAUUUAAUCAACCAUACUAAUUAUCAUUCAAUAUAUAUUAAAUGGAUAUACUAAAGUAAUGAAAUAAUAGUAUAGUUAGAGAGGCUCAUUAAAUCUUGCAAGCCCCAAAAGAUAAAUGUGCAAAUAGAUAAGAUAGGAUACAUAAACAAAAUAGUAUAGUUAGAGAGGCUCCUUAAAUCUUGCAAGCCCCAAAAGAUAAAUAUGCAAAUGGAUAAGAUAGGAUACAUAAACAUAACCCUAGCAUUUAUAUGCUGCAAUUAAACAAGAUAUACUUACAUAUUUCCUGGACCCUCGACGGCUGAAGUUGGCAGUAAAAUAAAAGGUCGCGUGUAAAUCUGUUUACAAAAAUCAACCUCAUCCAUAAUGCUAUCAAAGUAAAAUAAAAAAUCAUUGCUUAAACAGCUAGAAAGAUGAGAUAAUUAAACACGUUAUACAAUAACAGAAAUACAAUCACAUUAUCAUGCUGACUUUUUAAAAAAUAUAACUAGAAUCAAGAUUCUACAGAAGUAAAAUAUAAAUCAAAUCAUGUGAGCCAAAACUAUCUAGUCAAAGGGGCUCCCAAAUUAAGGUAAUGCACCAGGAGCAUAAAAAUUUUGAAAUUCAAUAAACCUAAAAGGGACUGCAAAACUUAACAAUUUCAUAUUAUUUUGGAAGGCAAAAAUAUAUACAGAUGGAUAUUCUAGACAACCUAAAAGAACAAUGUUUUGUCACGGGGCAGAAUUGAAGUUAAAUAUCCAGGAAACUAUCAUGAUCUUUGAAGCCAAUAAGAUAACAACCUCAAGACGUAGAUUCAACUUCACAUCAACCUCUAAAAAUGGUUCAAACAUAUUUGUGUCCCAAGUAAUAUGAUUUAUCAUAGUAGCUGCAAAAUUCAAAGCAAUAUUAAUAGUUACAACAAGGUACCAAAUACUCGCUUUAUAGCACAACAUACAUUCUUAAAUAUUCUGAAAAGAAAAAUCUUCAUAGGUCAUCCAUCUUAAUUCUGUUAUCAAUGAUACAACUGAAUGAAAUCUAUCCAAGCACAUACAGAAAAAAAAGGUCGUACCCAGUGCACAAGGAUCUUGGUUAUAAAUAGGAGUAGGUCUAAUAUAUGCUGCCUUCCCCCGUUCACAGAAGCUAUUUCAGGGUUUAAACCCAUAACCAAGCAGAUACAAAGUCAGGGAUGACCUUCAAAAUCUUUCCUAUUAUAACAUAAAACUUGUAGCUAUAGUUUGUAUCCAAUUGGGUGAUAAGAGGAUAACAGUUAGGGACCAAAUGAAAAGUUUAGCUACAGUCUUAAAAAUCCAAAAGGGCAUACAUUUCAAGCUUAAAAUGAUUGGUUUUCAAACAAUAGGUUUAGCACUAUGAAACAAGCAUUUUAGUCUAUCUAAACAACAUCUGUCACUCUAAAUAAAACCAAACCUAUAUUAGCUCAGAGGUAUACAAAUUCCAUAAUAAGUACCUGAAAAAUGGUCAUUUUGGCAUUCCACAACUUCUGAACCCUUGAACUGCAUACAAUUUCAGCAACAAGUAUACACGCAAUUUUCACCAAUCAUCAAACAGAAUAUGAAUAAUAGUAACCAUUUUCUUUGGUCAGGAAAAAAAUGCUCAAAAGAAAGCUGAUAAAAAAUAAGGUAAACUCCUUACCUAUUCUUUCCAACUCCAUUCCUUUGGUCAACAUCUCUCUCAUCCUCGGGGCAUGCACGUGAACCCUUUGUUGGUAGCAUAUUCUUUAAGGACUGAUCCAACUCUGUAUCAACAGCCUUGAUUUUAUCCCCAUCGUCCUACAGUAGUUUGAGGUAAAGGAAAUAAACCCAAAUAAUUGCAGAAGGUAGCUGAAUGCCAUAAGAAACACAAACGAAAGUUAAAACCAAAAACCCAACUCGAUACAUUGCAACUCCAUCAUGAAAAACAUAGUAUUACCAUUUUCCUCAAUCUAUCUUAUUCAGAAUCAAAACUAAAAUUUGAAAGAUGAAGGUAUUUCUCUAAAUCCAAUGAAAAAGAAUAAUCCAGAAUCAACAUUGAGAAACUAGAAAAAAAAUAGAGGAAGAAAAGUAAUGGGAAAUUGGAACGAUUAGAAAAAGGUACUUUUGGACAUUCUUGAGGGUUUCAUUAAACCUGAAAUGAAUGAUUAGAAAGAUCGGCAUGGCUAUUGUUGUUGUUCUUUUAAAACCCUCCUCUUGCUCACUCUAAACAUUCUACAAAGGUAUAUUGGGAGAAUGGUGAGGGUAAAGAGAAAGUUUUUUUUUUAAAAAAAGACAAAUUUCAUACGAGAUUUGUUGAAAAAAUCUUAGAUGGGAGUUGGGAGUUGGAAGAGGAUGUGAGAUGGGUAGAAAAAGAAAGAAAAAUAAUUUUGUACAUUACUAGAAUUGUUGAAUAGCCAUUCAUUAGAGAUGGCAUUGAAUUGUUAUUCAGUGGUUUUAACGAAUCAGCCUGUAAUUGCUAUUCAACAGAAUAAGUUUUACAACCAACCAAACCCCUAAAUAGUUUUACUGUAUUAAAUAAGGGAGGAAUGG
rnacentral:lncRNA from 1 species